rnacentral:rRNA from 1 species
GCUACGGGUGGCAGCAGUGGGGGAUAUUGCACAAUGGGGGGAACCCUGAUGCAGCGACGCCGCGUGGGGGAAGAAGGGCCUCGGCGCGGAAAGCCCUGUCAGCAGGGAAGAAAAUGACGGUACCUGAAGAAGAAGCCACGGCUAACUACGUGCCAGCAGCCGCGGUAACAAGGCGGGGGCAAGCGUUAUCCGGAUGUACGGGGCGUAAAGGGGGCGCAGGAGGCGUUGCAAGCCAGGAGUGAAAGCACGGGGCCCAACCCCGGUACUGCUCGUGGAACUGCGUGGCUGGAGUGCAGGAGGGGCAGGCGGAAUUCCUGGUGUAGCGGUGAAAUGCGUAGAUAUCAGGAAGAACACCGGUGGCGAAGGCGGCCUGCUGGACUGCAACUGACGUUGAGGCCCGAAAGGGUGGGGAGCAAACAGGAUUAGAUACCCUGGUAGUC